CCUACGGGUGGCAGCAGUGGGGGAUAUUGCACAAUGGGGGAAACCCUGAUGCAGCGAAGCCGCGUGUGGGAAGACGGCCCUCUGGAUUGUAAACCACUGUUCCCAGGGACGAACACGACGGACCCUGGGCAGGAAGCUCCGGCUAACUACGUGCCAGCAGCCGCGGUAAUACGCAGGGAGCGAGCGUUGUCCGGAUUUACUGGGUGUAAAGGGAGCGUAGGCGGGACUGCAAGUUGGGUGUCAAAUCUACCGGCUCAACCGGUAGCCGCACUCAAAACUGGAGUUCUUGAGUGAAGUAGAGGCAGGCGGAAUGCCUAGUGUAGCGGUGAAAUGCGUAGAUAUUAGGAGGAACACCAGUGGCGAAGGCGGCCUGCUGGGCUUUUACUGACGCUGAGGCUCGAAAGUGUGGGGAGCGAACAGGAUUAGAUACCCGGGUAGUC
rnacentral:rRNA from 1 species